GACGAACCGUGCGAACGUUGUUCGGAUUCACUGGGCUUAAAGGGCGCGUAGGCGGACUCGCAAGUCUGUGGUGAAAGCCCCCAGCUCAACUGGGGAAGUGCCGUGGAUACUGCAAGUCUGGAGGAGGGUAGGGGCAUCUGGAACGCUGGGUGGAGCGGUGAAAUGCGUUGAUAUCCAGCGGAACUCCGGUGGCGAAGGCGGAUCUCUGGGCCAUUACUGACGCUGAGGAGCGAAAGCGUGGGGAGCGAACAGG
rnacentral:rRNA from 1 species